GAAUUGAAUUGCAAGAUUAUGAAGGCUAAGAAUUCCCAUGAUCUGCUAUCUGAAAGUUGCAGAAACAGGAAAGCCAGUGGUAUAAUUCAGUCUGAGUCUGAAGGCCCAAGAACCAAAAGCACUGAGGUGCAAAGGCAGGAAAAGAUAGAUAUCCGAGCUCAGAGGGAGUGAAUUUACCAUAGUUAGGCCCUCAGGAAAUUGAAUGAUGCCCACCCACAUUGCGGAGGGUGAUCUUUUUUACUCAGUCUACUGAUUCAAAUACUAAUAUUUUCCAGAAGCACUUGCACAGAUGUACCCCAAAAUAAUGUUUCAUCAGCUUUCUGGCCAUCCCUUAUCCCGGUCAAGUUGACACAUAAAAUUAGUCAUUAUACCACAGCAGAAGAGGUGUAGUUUAUCAAGAGGUGAACAUGUGAGAAGUAAUUAAAAAGGAUCAGCUCAGCCCUUUCCAGGGGAGCCUGUGGCAUUUUGGGGUAAAAUAUAAGCAAGUCUAUUCAGUUAUAAACCUAAAGUCAUAUUCUGUCCCAGACUUUCUCUGCAUCUUGCCCUCAAUGGUUCUUGGGGGUAUUAUUUAUAGCUACCUGAAAUCUGAAAUUUCCUUCCAUGUCCUUUUGAUUUGAGGUGGAUUUCACAAUUGCAUAUAAAAGAAAUAAGAUAAAAUACAAAUAAGUAGAAAAGAGAAGAAAAUGAUAAAAAGUUAGAAAAAAAGGAUAAAGUCAGUUGAUCCUUUCUUCAUUCAUUUGACAUACGCUUUUUGAGACUCUGCUGUGUCCGGUUCUACUGUAUGUAGGACUGUGUCACAAACAACAGAAAGGGUUCCUUCUUCAUGAACUUUAUAGACCACAUGCACUUCACACCAUGAGAUUCUCUGCUUUUUUGUAGAGGUCAGAGGCAAAGUGUGUACUGAUCUUAACAGUCCAAGAAAAAAAAAAUCAUGAUCAAUAAACAUGAUAUGUGAAAAUUUUUGCCCACUCAAAAGACAGUUGAACAACUACAAGAGCUUUAUAUCGACUCUUCCAGUAGAACUCUGAGAUUUGAAUCAGUUUAACUGCACUCACAGAGAAGUACAACUGUUUAUUUUCAGUACUACUGAGUUUCACGCAACUUUUUCUACUUACCUGUCUGCCUGAUUCACUUUCCUCAUUUCAAAAAAUUUAAGGCUUGGCACGGUGGUUCAAGCCUGUAAUCCCAACACUUUGGGAAGCCAAGGCGGGCGGAUCAUGAGGUCAAGAGAUUGAGGCCAUCCUGGCCAACAUGGUGAAACCCUGCCUCUACUAAAAAUACAAAAAUUAGCUAGGCGUGGUGGCGUGAGCCUGUAGUCCCAGCUACUCAGGAGGCUGAGGCAGGAGAAUUGCUUGAACCUGGAAGGCGGAGGUUGCAGUCAGCCGAGAUUGUGCCACUGCACUCCAGCCUAGUGCCUGGUGAUAGAGUGAGACUCUGUCUCAAAAAAAAAAAAAAUUUAAAUCUGUGACAGUUUUGACACAAUGAGCAGCAAAACCCUUAAGCAAAUACUGCAUUUUGGCUUGUUCUUAAUGUCUGUUAGAAGGCAUCCCUUGCUUCUCUUUUCUUCCAUUUCCUGCCAUGUCUUAUGUUGAUUUUCAAAAGUGAUUUUUAUUAAUUUAUUUUUAAAUUAUGCAUCCUGGACUCUCAGAAAGGUCCCAACUGAUGCAAGAUGGUUAUUUAACCUGUCAGAGCCAUUGGGGGCAUAGCAUUUCAUCUCUUCCUCUAAUUUCUGACUUGUCAUUAAAAAUUACUGAUUCUGAGUAAUCACUUCUGACUCCCAACACUUUCCAGCAUUUGACAUUGUAAAUAUUUCUUGUUUGUGUAAUUUAAACCUCAUGAAAGGCUAGAAAUGAAAUGUGAUCAUUGGCUUUUCACAGCUUACAAAAAAAAAGAAGAAAUAUAUUUAGAUUAAAUAAAAAUGCCAUAUUUACCUUGUUGGAGCCAUAGCAGCUAAAACAACAUUUCAGAUAAAGUAGUGAAACCGUCUCUGAAACCCAGGUUGGUUUUCUACUCUAGGAUGUCACACUUUCAUGACAAGGGCCAUAGUUCACAGUGAUGGUCUACAAUUCUGAUAAUGGCUUCUAAGGGAUUUUUUGUUUUGAACUUCCUAGGGUUAUUAGGAAACAAAGCCAAUUUUCUUUUGUCUAGUCUAUGAUUAAGGAAACUACAACUAAAGUAUAAAACACAAGUAUUGCUCGUAUUAAAAACAAAGAACAUCAACAAUAAGAAAAAACAGAAUCACAGCUUAGAGGGAGUGGUGAAGCCAAAAACACAACUGUUUUUUUGUAGGAUAGUCGAUAGCUGGUAAUGAUGGAAGUCAGCAUUAGAAGUUCUUCACCAGUGAUGGUCAAACGCAUUGGCGGUUCAACAAAUGUAUGAACAGAUUUUACCACAAAUCUGCAUCGUUUUUUCUCAGUGCUAGCUGUCUUGAUCUAAAAUCUUCAUGGAAUUUUGACCUUUAACAUCAAAAGUAUUCAGCUUGUUAUUUAAACUAUUGGAUUUUGUAGCAGUAAUGCAAAAAUAGGCUAAAUAAACCUAAUGAAUUUUGUUCUUAGAGGCCUAAAUUAGUUACUGACCAAUUUUGAACAAUUCAAUAAGAAUACAGUUAUUGAAAAGUGGUGUAUUCUGUGAAGCACCAUCUCCAUGUCAAGCUUGUAUCAUUGAAAGUGAUUCAAAGUCUCCAUUUCAGUCAUUUCCAAAGGGAAAACCCUCCCACGAAGCCUAAUAGACCCAAUAUUUUAGAAUCUGUUCACAUAGUUACUAAUUGUGGGAUGUCUCUGGGAUGUUUUUAUCCAUUUCCCAAAUUCUUAUGCUUUGCCAGCUUCUUGGCAACUGUCAUUUGCUUCUGGUUGAAUUAGGUCUCCUGGAAACUCAGUCUCAAAGAUAGAGCAGAUGCUAAAUGACUGAGACAUACCCAUAGAGUCAGAACCUAAAGGCAGACACAAAAACAUAAGGUGUGAUUCAUGUCCAUCAAACCUAUGAAUUGUUUCUGAAAUUAGGUUUUCAUUUCCACUGAAUGGCUCUACAAUUCUUUGACAGCUGCGAUUCCAUUGACUUCAGGGUAGUUUAGCAAUGCGGAUUGGCUAUAGUCUCAAGUCACCAUCUGUUCAAUCCACAUGUCCAGCUUUCUCCUGAGUGGCUUUGCUUUCUGAAACCAAUCAGCAGAAUUGAAAUAUAUGCUGUCUUUUUACAUCAAGUUUGGUGAAUCUAUAUCUCUGCUAUAGCAGUCUAAAAUUAUAAUUGAGGUUUUAAAGAUGUGGGUUGUUUAGUCAUCUGAUUUACCAAACUCCUUAAUCUGAAAAAGCAGAUCAAAGAACCUCUUUCAACAUUUUUCCUGAAUAAAUCGUCCACCUAUAAACAAAACUAUAUUUCAAGUUUUCUUAAGUAAAUGGUACCAAGUAUGCAGAAAAUUUACAGCCUUUAUCACCUCCUCCAUUAACAUGUGCAAUAAACUAGUUUUUACAAAAUUUGGAGCCCUACCUUUCUUAAUGCUUGGGGUAAUUGAAACCAAGUUCACCAAUGUACUCUUGUGACUCCCAUUCAUUACUUAACUCUUCUUUUUUCUUUCACCAUAGAUCUGCCUAUAAUAAUUGAAUUCUGGUUGCAGGGCAGACCAAAAUGCUUUAAUUUCUUAUGGGAAGGUAGGCUCAUGCAUUCUAUAUCAAUAGGUAGUGUUUAUGUUUUGUAGCAUCCUCAAUGUAAAUUCAUCUGGCCUCAUGUUGAUUGUCCCUCUGAGGUGAUCAGACAAGUGAGUAGGGAACAGCGGUUGUCAUAGUUAGUUCUGGGUUGCCAUAACUGACUACCAGAGACUGCAUAACUUAUUUUUAAAAAGAGUUUUGUUUUGUUUUUAAAUAUUGAGUUCUCAUCACAAGUACAAUAAAAACUAAUUGUAGUUGUGAAGUCUAGAAAGUCCAGUAUCUGUGGCAUCUGGUGUCUGGUGAGGACCUUCUUGCUGCAUGCUCACAUGGCAAGUAAAAGGGCAGAGGCUAACAUGUCCUUAUAUGGCAGAAGAGAAGAAGAGAGUGAACCCAUCCUAUGAACACUUUCUACAAUGGCAAUAUCCAUUCACGAGGAAGGAGGUCUCAUGACCUAAACAUUUCCUAUUAGAACUCAGCUCCCAGUGCCAUUGCAUUGGGGAUAAGUUUCCAACACAUACAUUUUGGGGAAAAUUUAGACCAUAGCAGGUGGCUUUUGGAACUGGGGUUCCUGGGAAUGCCCUUGACCCAUUGGUAUCUGAUUUUAAAUCUGAGGUCUGCUACUUCAUGAGCUGCAGAGGGACCUCAGGGGAGCUAAAUCAAAGCCAUUCACAAAUGGUUUCCUCCAGGGAUCCCUCCUUGUUUCUGCAGCUCCUCCUCUUCAUCAACACCUGCUAGCCUGGCUUGUCAACCUCCUGGAUUUAGAUAACUGUUCCUAUAUAUCGCCUGUGUUACAUUUGGUAACUCACUCACCAGUGAUUCUUCACCCUACUUUUCCCAUUUGUUUUGGUCACUUUAUGUAUAUUGUGCUUUGGUGAAAUGCUUAAAAUCUCCUUGUAACUGAAAUUAGUCAGUACCUCAUUUGAAGCCUUGCUGUUCUUGCAGGCUGGUGGUUACCCAAAGGGCCACUGUUUUACCCAGGAGGGGCCAUGAGAGUCCUGAUAGUGUCAUGGGGAAGGGAUUGAGCUGGGGUGGGAGAAAGAUACAGAUGGUUCCUAGCCAUGUUCGCUUCCCACUAAGAAAAAGCAGGUUGGUUUGUUUGUUUGCUUGCCUAUUUAUCAGUUUUUAUUGUACUUGUGGUAAGAAGUCAGUAUCUAAACAAACACUGUGAAGUUAAAUUCAGACUGUUUUCUAUCUGCUGUUAAACCAAAGCACAUUUCUUUGUGCUCCCUAAAAUAAUGCACUAUAUCAGGACAAGAAGGUUAAAAAACAAGCCUUUAGAGUCAGACAGGCCUAAGUCCAACCUGUCCCAUCCCUUUCACUACCCCUCUGAAGCCAUGAAUGCUUAACCUAGGUCCUCAGUCCCUCUGUGUCAGUUCCUGUCUGCAAAAUGGGGGAAAAUGUGGCACUUACCUCAAAAAGUGCUAUGAACAUUAUAUGUAAAAUCACAUACAAUGUGUCAAACCUAGUACAUGGAACACUUAUGAUAAUAACAUACCACAUUCUGUUUACCAGGUUUUAUUCUAUAACACUUUACAUAGAUUUGUUCAUUUAAUCCUCACAGUGGCUAUCUUUUUCUUUACUUUAUAGAUGAAGAUGAGGUUAAGCAAGAUUAAUAUAAGUUACCCAAGAUCACAAAGCCAGCAAGGAAAGGGGCUGGAGUUUGACACCAGAUCUCUUUUGUGCGGUAGCCUCUGUUCUAAAGAUAGUGCUUUAGAAGAGAAAGUAAGGCAUCCUGUAGAGCUUUCUAUUAAGUGGUGAAGUGAAGGCAGACCUCUAGUGAGAAAUUGAAUCUGGAAGCCAAUUUUCAGAUAAGUGUGCUGUACGGUGUACCAGGAGGAGAGUGUGAAAAUUAUUGGUGAGAUAUUUGAAUUCUCAAAAGCAGUCCUUCAUUGUUAUCAGUGUCCGUGAUGCUUUGUGAAAUUUUCUGCAUUGAUGUAACAGGUAUUGGGCAUCUACUCAGUACUGGGUGGUAUAAAGUGCCAUUGAUACAAAUAGAAAUAAUUGUUACCCCAAUCCUCACCUUCCUUAGCCCCAUUCCCUAAACCACAUCUUUUAUUAUGGCCUUUUAGGGGACUCCAUGAGCAUUAGUUAAAAAAGUUUUCUGGAAUGGCAGAAUAAGAAAAUUUCAUUAGGACUUAGGCCUGGGAUUAAAAUCAUGCCAGUAAAACCUGAUGUUUGAACAUCCUAAUACUUGUUUUUCUCAGAUGUAAAAUGUGAAAAUCUAGUAUGUAGUGAAACAUCAGAUCUCACUCCACUGUCAGAAGUCAAAUCGUGUCUGCCCAAAAAACAUACGUUGAAAUCCUAAAUACCCAGUACCUGUACGGGUGACCUCCUUUGGACAUAGAGUUUUUGCAGAUUUAAUCAAAUUAAUAUGAGGUCAUUGAAUAGUACCUUAAUUUGAUAUGACUAGCAUCCUUCUAAGAAGAGAAAAAUUUGGACACAGACACAGAAACACAGGAAUACUACCAUGUGGAUAUAUAUAAAGACAUACAGACACAAUGAGGGGAGAUCAUGUGAAGAUAGAGUCAGAGACUAGAGUGAUACAUCUACAAGCGAAGGAAUACCAAAGGUCAUCUACAGCCUCUGGAGACUAGGAGAGAGGCCUGGAACAGAUUCUCCUUCUGAGUCUCCGGAAGAAAUCGGCCCUGCCAACACCUUGAUCUUGGACUUCUGGUCUCCAGAACUGAGAAACAAUAAAUUUAUGCUGUUGUAAGUCACCAGCUUUGUGGUACAGGAGCAACAGGAAACUAAUACACCUGUCAAGUAAUGAAGUCAGAAAAUAAUUUCCUAGGAAGUUUAAAAUGAUAGAUGCAGGAGAGAGAACCCACUCUUAGGUGGCUUGCUGCGUCAAAUAAUGGAAGCCAAGUCAUAAUGAGUUGAAAUCCAGGUUCUAUUGGGGAUUAAAAGAUUACAUAUUAACACCUUUCUCCCUUAGUCCAAUUCCUCCUAGAUGAAUGUAAUCCUCACACCCACUAACCCACUGUUUUCAGCUUCUUCAAUAUGUACAGUUGUCUUCACCCACCUGCCUUUUUUUUAAUCUGUUAAUCUUUCUACACUACUUUUUUAGUCCACCUGUACCUCAACUCAAACUUCAUCUACCCUCUACUAUCCCUUGUCACUUUAAUUUAACUUGAGCACAGAUAUGCUGCUUCCGUACCCAAUAAUUGAUUUUGUUCUAUAUGUCUUUAAACCUGGCCAUGUUUAGGGUCCCAUCAACUCUCACAUUUAACUCACUCCUUCUUGAAAAGCCUGUUUGAACAUUUUUGUAGAUACAAAGAACCUAGUAGCUUAACUGUGUUUUAAAUAGUCUCUACAUGUUUCAUUCUUUGUUGAGGAAAGAAGCUAAGGGAAGAGGGGACAAAGGUGUCUUUUCCAAAUUAGGUGACAAUUGAAUCUCAACAGGCCCAAGAUUCCUUAAUGAGAAUACUAACAGUCAGAUUCACACAAGCUGGCUUUGAAUUCACAGAUCUCUGGUCUGGCACUGACUAGCUCAGGAUUGUUACAGAAAUUCCAUAAUUUCCAUAUGCAAAAAUUGUCAGGCUAUAAAAUGAGGUAACAGUGCUGCCUAUCUUAAAGAAUUUUUGGGCCAGGCAAAGUGACUCAUGCCUGUAAUUCCAGCACUUUGGGAAACUGAGUAGGGUAGAUCACCUGAUAUUAGGAAUUCAAGAUCAGCCUGUCCAACAUGGUAAAACCCUGUCUCUACUAAAAAUAUAAAAAUUAGCUGGGUCUGGGGGCAGACACCUGUAAUCGCAGCUACUCAGGAAACUGAGUCAGGAGAACUGCUUGAACCCCAGAGGUGGAGGUUGCAGUGAGCUGAAAUUGUGCCAUUGCACUCCAUCCUGGGCGACAAGAGCAAAACUGUCUCAAAAUAAAAAAAAAAAGUUGGGAAGGUAAGUGGAUUAAUAAUGCAUGUGGACUUUAUGCCUGGUUCUUAGUAAGGUCCCAGUAGACAUUAGCUCUUCCUAUUUGUCCCAUAGGUUUUUGGCAACUAUUUCAUUUUUACAGUAAUGCUUUCACACAGUUGCAUUCACUAUUUGUUAAAUUAAGAUCUUUGCAUAUUUAUUCUUAUGCAGUCUCUUAAUAAAAAAGCAUAAAAUUGAAAUAUAAAUCUAAUAAAAAUGGAAUAAUUUUUAAAAAAAUCAAUGCUAAUAAAUUUUGGUGGAUUUUUUUUUAGAAACUGCUUCCUGCAGUUGAUUUUGCACCAGCAUUUUAUGAAGCAUAUUUUAUUUUUUCUAAGUAUUAAACUCCAUCAAAUAGGUAUACUAGUACAGGCUGAUAGCUAUACCUGAAAAUAACAGUAAAUUUUAAAAAGCUUUUAUAAAAAAGCCUUUCAAAGUUACUGUCAAAGCUUUUCCUGUUUGUAUGAGAUUGUGCACUUUAGGAAUGGAAAAAAAAGAAAGAAAUAUACCGGAGGAAAGUUAUACUCACUGGCAUGAAAGACAGGAGAAAAGCGUGCCAGGAAAGCAGUCUAAUAUGCCAAGGCAAUUCUAGCUCUGGUCAUCAUACAAACUUAACAUUACAUCUUGGGUAUAAAUGUCUUGAGUGAGUAGUUGACUGCCACUGGGAUGGAGAAAAUGGAGCUGAUAAGCUUUCAAAUAGACAAUCUUUAGUCUCAAUUUGAACAAACUUGGCCCAGCGGGCUUUUAUAUGUUUCCUUUGAUGAGGUUUUUUUCUUUUCUUCUUUUAUUUGUCUUCUUUUGGAGGCAGAUACUACAUUGUAUAUUGUGUGAUUUAGCAAUUAAAUUAUUUAAGCUAAUUAAUGAUUGAGUGGAAAGAUGAGUUGGUCAAUAUAUUUAUAAAAGUCUGGUUUCUCCAAGCAUUUUAAAAAACAGAUAACAGAUGUCUAGCAUGUAAUAGGCACUUUAUAAAAUAUUUUGAUCGACUAAUUCAAUUGUAUAGAUCCGUUGUUCUCACAGAUACCUGGUAAAUUCUGCAUCAAGUAGGCAUUAAAAUAGGUUGCUUGUGUGCUGUCAUUUAGCAUGUAUAUGUCUUAUGCAAAGACAAAGUUACAUAAGCCAGUGCCUGAUCGUCAAGAUCUACUCCCAAGAAAAGGUGAGGAUACAGGAGGUGGAAGUAUUAAAGGAAAGAGAGAAUCCCCUAUUUCCACCACUUACUUCAAAAAAGUAUAUACAACAAUAGAGUAAGUCAAGCAUAAGACUUUAAAAUUAGGAGACAUGAAUUUAGUGUCCAUCUCUGUCACUUACUUGCCAUAAGAUAUUGGACAAUUUUCUUAGCUACCUUGAGUCUCAUUUUUCUCACUUGUAAAAUGGGAAGUAUGUUUUCUCAGUGUUUUCCCAGUGGUGAGGAUUCAAUCAAAGAUUUCCCAUGAACGUGUGCAUUAAACUUUAAUGUGCUUCGCAGAUAUGAGACAACAACCACAUCAUCCACACUGGAUGCAAUAGAGAAGGUCAACUCUUGUAAAAGCAUAAAGGGUGAGAGAGCUUCCACAGAAAACUAAGAUUUAGAGAUUUGUGGACUUCAGGAUCAUAUGACUCUGUUGAAUGAAUCUUUUAAUCCUUAAUUUUUAAGCAGUUUAUAUAACAUGAAAUUAAACAGCAAAGCUUGACAGCAAAAGGAACAACAAAGAUAAAUUUCAACAUACCCAACCUUUUCCAAAAUCAUUCCUGUAACUCCCGAUCGUAGUUUUGCUGAGUAAUCUUCCCAGCAAUACCCAAGCAGCCACUAUCUGGGCUGCGUCUGGACUCUCCGAUGCUAUGUAAGACAGAAAUGCAUUAUAAAGCAUGAGCUUGCCUCCCCUCAGUGCAGCUUUAUUGCAUAUUUAUGCCUGUAGUUCUUGGGUGCUUCUGAGGCAGCAGAUAAGCUUGUUUAACAUUUGGACUGGCUCUAUUGCCACUCACCUAUGCAGAAUUUAAUCUGGCAACCUCCUUCUGAGCCCCUUAAACCUUUUUUUUUUUUUUUUUGCCAGAAGGAGUCUGGGGAGUGUGCAUAAAUCUGAAGACUCCACAUAAGGCACUGGCAGGAAGAAAGCUAUGAGGCCUUUCCAGACCUUGUAGGAUCAAAAACACAAGGGUGAUAUGGCAGGUGCACAGUGUCACAAAAGACAGGCACCAAAUCACACAUGCUAAUCAGAAUGCCUGAAGGGUGGCAGAAUUCAGGCAGCGAUUUCUCUUCCACCGAUCUUCACUUGACUUUUCUUGGGAACCAACAGGGAGAUGUUGGAUUUGACUAUUAAUGAGUCAGUACACACUUUAUUGGUUCUCAAGCACAUUUGUCAUGGCAAUUUACAUGAGUUAGCACCAUGUUUCUAAAGCUUGCUACAGAAUCCAGCAAGCAUUUGUUUUAAUGAGCUAACACACCCAGAAUGACUUAUACUUUUUAUGGUAUUUAUUACAUAUUGUCAUAAACACUAUUAACUUAAAUUAUAAGACUGAAAGAAAAAACAAAGUGUUCGUCAUUAGAGCAAGAAAGAAUCUUUAGAGACACUCACUUCAGCACUUUGUGUUCUGUUGCACAGAGAAGAAAAUCUGGUGACAUUCUUUGUCUCAUUUUAGCUAAAAGGAAAUCUGGAGACCUGCAACUUGGCUGGGGUCUCUGAAGUCUGCGAUGGAGAGGGUAGGCCCAUGGACUACAGUGGGUUAAACACAGGGAGCAUCCAGUGGUAGAACCCAUCAGAAACACUGAAGCCAGCUUUAGAUAAACUUGUACCCAAGUUAUCUAUCCUUAAUGACUAGGAAGAAUAAUCCAUGUCGUGGGAAAAUUUAAGGUUAAAUAUACAGAUUAACAGAGUCUGGAGAGCCUCCUGGAAUAGGCAAAACACAGCACCAGGCACAUUUCAUGUCAGACUGUUCUCUUGGCUGUGUGGCAAGAAGCUCUGUCAACUUGGACUUAAGUUUUUCAUAGUAAUUACUGAUAUCCUGGCUCUUAAUGCUCAUGUCCACUUGCAACGGGCAUAUCCAGGUUGUAAAGGCCAUACUUUGAUGUGAUGUGUCUCUCUAGGAUUUUCUGGAAUGCUGAUAUUCAUUGUCUCCCACAUUUCAUUAAUCUCUCAUACUCAAAGGUAUUUCCUGGUGAUGCAAAGACCUUUGAGUAUGAGAGAUUAAUGAAACGUGGGAGAGUUAAUGUGAAAUGGUGAUUUAAGAGUGUGUACUGUGGUUCACCAACAAGCUAUUUGUCCUUGGGACAAUUACUUAACCUCUGGGUUGUAGGCAAACAGCUCAGCUUCCGUAUUGUAUGUAAAUGGGCACAAUAGUCAUCUCUUUAGGGUUAGUGUGAGGAUUGAGUUAAAAUAUGCCAGGUCCUUAAAACAGUGUCUGGUAUUAAUGAAUGCUAUUUACGGAUUUCUAAUAUUUAUUAAUUUUAAUUAUGUAUUAUCCCUCCCUUAUCAUCUAAGGCUAGCAAUGUGAGGGAAAGCAAGCAUGUAACAGUUUUGAUUAAAAAAAAAUUAACGGCAUUUGGUUUUCAGCUUAAUGAGUUUUCUAAAAACUGUUUUUCACUUUGAAAUAAGAAAAUGAGACACAUUGGUGUAAAUAAGUAAAAUCCCUUUGAAUGGAAACUAACACAAUAUGUUAAACUGGUGACUCAAAUUACAUAUUAUUAUUACUUUUUUCCAAAUUUUAUUAAAACUGUAAACCUUUGUACUGAAAAAGUUCAAUGAACCCCAAAUAGAAUAAACAUAAAAUUCAAAAAUCAUACAAAACCAAUCACUAUAUUAUUUAGCAAUAUAUAUAUAUGUAUAUUUGUACAUAUAUAUGUUUUACUCAUAUAUAUGUAAGUAAAAACAAUAAAUAGGAAAGGCAAGAUUAACAAAAAUUCGGAAUUGCAGUUACCUCUGGGGAGAAGAAUGGAGGACUCAAAGGCUUUAUGUGUAUUGAUAAAGUCUUUUCCUCAAGUAACCUAAGGGUUUUCCUCAAGUAACCUAAGGGGUAAAUAAGUCAUAGUAUUAUUCUUUAAAUUGAAUAUGCACAAAAUAGUUUUUGCAAGUAUGUUAGAAUCACAAUAAGUAGAAAAUGAAUUCAUAAAAUUCAUCCAUUCUUUUUACGUAUUACUUACAAUAACACAAGCCAGAAAGCUGGGAGUCCUUCUUGACCAUUCCCUCACUAAGCAAUUCUCAUUAACAUAACUUUCUACUUCUCUCUACCUCUACCAUCACAUCCUGCCCCAGGCCAUCCUGCCUCUCACCAAAAACACAGAAGUGCUUUUCUCUCUGGUAAAGCCCUGCUCUAAUCCAAUCUCCAGAUAGCAGCUUUAAACCUUAUCUCUCUGUGACUCGUCUAUCUCUAUACCCUUUGCUAUCAGAAGCAACAGAAUGACAAGUAAAUUGCCCAAAGCUGCACAGCCAGGAAACAGCAGAAGCAGGACUUUGGGUGAUAUUGGAAAAGGUUUAGUCGCUGCCGCACACAGGGUAAUCUCCGAAUAAAGGAUAGAUUUAUUUUUCCUUGAAACACUAUCGCACCUACUUUGUCUGCGUAGUUUUUCUUAACUCUGACCUGAAACCACAAUUUUCAAGAAAUGCCUUCCUGAGUCCGUGGCCCAUUGCAGCGAGUCUCCACUGUCUGUCCUCCCAGCACUUUGUUCAUUUCUAGUAACAUCCCUCCUCCACUCAAUUGCAACCUCCGCAAGGGUAGGAGCCUGUUUUGUCCACAAUUAGUGUACACCCUUGCUCACUCUGGUAUUCUCCAUGUCCAUCUCUCAGUGAAAAUGACAGAUCACCAACCAGAUCUCUCAUCUAACAUUCCAAACAAUAAGCAAUCUGGUCUGCUGACCCUACCCACAGGGCUGUGGGACAGAGAUCAGCCCUGACCCAUGAAAUCCAAGAUAGCUUACUCCAUGGAAGGGACCCAGUGCCCAGGUGGAAAUGAAAGUCACUUUGGAUACCCAAGACCUCAAUCCCUUGAGCCAGUGAACAGGUCACAAAUUAACCCCUUCUGCCCCUGUUCUAUCAUAUCCACUCCUGUCACUUGGAGAUUGGGUGGAGGGCAUCCGGAUGUUCACCUCAAGUAUGCUAGGGCCACUAGUGACACAGACCAAGGUGGCCAAGUAAGGUAAGUUCAGGGUAAGGGUGGGAAGGCAGGGGCAGGCACAGUCAAAGCUGUGGGGCUUCUCGGAGGCCCAAAUAAGCUUGAUCCCGCUGAAGUCUGGCUCUUUUCCUUGGCAGCACUGAACAUAUUCAAAAUUAUUGUCCAUGAUCUUUCCACUCCACAAUAGAGGCAGGGCACCUUCAUGCUCCUCUGAAUCCUUAGUGUCCAGCAUAGAGCGUGACCAAGGGCAUAUGUCCAAGAAAUGGGCAGUGCACUAGCCCCCAUGAGUCCUUCAGGUCUGACUCAGGUGAGAAGCCUUUAUUCCUUGACACAUUUUUAGUUGUUUGGUGCUCUUCACAAUAGCCUUGGUGUUCUUUGUAUUGUGGGCUCAAAAGAUAUUUACUGAAUGAAUGAAUGAAUGGACACCUGCAGGCUCACUCUUUCCUGGAUAGUUGCCAGGUCCAAUGCCCUCUGCCUGAAUUCUCUUUUCUCCUCAUUUACCUGCUCAGUUUAUUUCAGGAUUUGAGAGAUUACUAGAUGCUACACUCUUUUACUGGGCUCAAGGGUCACUUCCUCCAGAAGGCCUUUCUGGUUGCUCCUUUCAGGGGCCCCUCUUCUCCAUGGCCACUGCACCUAGGUGGACCUCUCUGCCCUCGGAUCAAGAUGGUAACUUGAGAAUAGAAACCAGAUCUGAUUCAUAUCUCUGUAGCCAUCACAUGGCCAUGAUUGCCACCAGGAUGGGUUCAGGAAACACCUACAGAAGGCAUCAUUUCUUAGGAGAGAGACAACCUCUGAAGCAGACUGAUCCUGAUUGCACUCCAGCCCUGCACUUGAUAGGAUAGCCAAGUUCCUUUCUCUGUAUUAACUUUCCAGGGUCAAACAGCCUGUUGACCCUGGAAAUGAGGUCUAAACUAUCUGGCAGGGUUUCUGGGAUAGUCAUUAUCCCUUCAACCUCAGAAGAGUAGGACAGGAUAGACCCCUUAAUAUCUGGUAAUUGGUAGUCCAGAUAGCUGGGAAAGGUGGGAGAAGGAGGAGAAGUUAGGAUGAAAUUCAACCUUUUCUGCCCUAAAGUUCUCUUUUCCCUCCACCCUCAAAGACACCUAGAAAACAGAGCCCCAAAAUGAAAUACUGAUGUUUUAUUUGGGGAAGUAAAAACUCAAGACAUUAGGAGUGAGAAGAAAGGGAGGAAAUAAUGGGAAGUAAUACAAGAUGAUGUAUUACCAGGCUGGGCACUGCUUCAUGGCAAGCCUUGAGGAGGCACAGCAGUUGUGUCCACCUGCUACUUGGGAGGUCUCCCCACAGGCUGUGCUAUUUUGGAGAAAUGGUGCUUUGCAGCAAUUCAUGGACGGGAGAGAAGAAGGUGGAAUUUAUCUGCUUGGCAGUCGGCUAUCUCUCAUUUUCCAUUAGUCAAAUUUUACUCCAUCAGUAUUAACUCACCCACACUUCUGGGUUUGCUGGUGACAACUUGGGAUACCAGAUCCCAUGCCCUGCGGUAGGGAAUUUUAUCCAUGUCUUUGAAGUGGCAGAAAGAGACAGAGACUCCAUGCAUAUGGCCAGUGAGUUCCAGGGAGAAUCUGAUAUAGUGUAUAUGUCCUGUCCAGUACACUCCAAUAUUGGUUUUUUCAUUUUCUGGAAGAUAACACAAGGCACAAUGAUCAAAGAUGUUUCCCAAGGUCACAUGGUUAUUAAAUGGUAAAUUUGGGAUUUGAGCACUGUCUGGCUCUGGAAACUGUGGAAGACCAAGAUAAAGAAUUUGGAUUUUAUGUAGCAAGCAAAGGAGUCACUAAAGUAUUUUAAACCUGAGAGGGACGUGAGGUAAAGAGCUAUUUAAUGAAGCUCCCAGUCUCCACUGUGCCCUACCUUCCCACCUGACUAAAUUCCAGUAGAAGCAGGUGGCCUCAGAAGAGUUAGAGCAUCAAAGACAGGUCUUGAGAAAUCUCUGGUUCCAGAGCUUCAUUUGUGCUUUAAUAUUGCUCCAUAAUCUUCCCGUGUUCAUCUAAGCCUCCACCUAUCAAAGAGACAAGCUGCUCAGAGACAGACAGGAUCUGAGUAAAGAAGCCAAAAUGAGAAGAAAUUGACCUAAAGAUGAGGAGGAGGAGGACUAGCUAUUUCUGCAUCAUCUGCCUAUGGGUCUGAAGAUCUUGACAUCUGCUGAUGAUUCCUUUGCUGCUGCCUGAGGUGGUCAGAUCUCAUAAACUGUCAGCCACACUAAUCACAUCUAUGCAAUCUAUCUCUGUUUUAUAUCUGCAUAUUUCAUCUAAGCUCAUCAGAAAGGAAGACAGACCACAUACAGCCUUCCCACCUGCAUGCGUAGGGCCUCUUACUUGGGCAGCCUAUUGUGCCACCUAACACUGGCUUAGUUCCUCAACCUCAUGAUCCAUUUCAACCUGGUAUUGGCUGUACAUGGGGACUAUGUGGGGUUCAGAUCCACUUCAGACCAGACGGGAGACUGGUCACUGCAGUGUCAUGGUGAGUGUCCAGAAACCACCAUGUCCAAUAUUGCCAUUAGGAUCAAAUACUCCUAGUAAAGCACUGAAAAAACAAAACAAAAUACAAUUGUUUAUUGAUUUGUGCAUUCAUUGUGUUUCUGGAAAUCAAGCAUAUAAUAAAAAUAAGCAAAAAAAAAUACUUUGGCAUUUUAUAAAAAACAGACAUAUGUUCUAAGCCCAUGCAUGCAAUUAUAAUCAGGAUUUUUACUUAGAUGAUUGUCAGGUUGGCCUGACAAAAUCAUGUGGCGCACAGAAUAAUUCUCCGUUUUGUGGGAGGGACUAUACAAUGCAUUAUAGGAUGUAUAGGCCACCUAAGCCCUGCCCUCUAAACACCAGUAGGUCCCUCUGUCAUUCAUCAUCAUAAUCAAAAACCAUCUCCCCAAAUUUUCAAAAUGCCUCAUUGGGUGAAUUAUUGCCCUAAAGGGUAUCCAGGACUGGGGAGCAGUUUAUUGGUGGAGUGAAAGCCACAGAGUGGGUGAGAUUGCCCAGGAAGUUCAGAAAGAGUAAUAAAAGACCAGGGACAAGGUAGGUCAAGUAAAAUACAAACAUUUAAUAAAUAGAAAAUCGUAAGAAACAGCCUGAAAAGACUGGAGCAGACAGAAGCAACAGACAUAAAAAGACUGGAAAUGGACAGAAGGAGGACCAGUUUCAAGGCCAAAGAGGAAGAGGAAUGGAAACGGGGAAAUAAAAUUUUCUGUAGAAGAGACGAGUCGAUAGUGUCAAAUGAAGUAGGUAAAUGAGGAACUGACGUAUGUCUACUGAAUUUGACAAUUAAAACUUAAUUUCUGAAUUGUCCCAAGGCUGUCAGAGCUGCCCAUGUCGCCUGAGAUGGUCUUGCAGGAAAUUUGAAAUGGGACAUCAAAACUGGAGACACUACAUUGUUAACUCUUCCUGGAAAAGGGAGGGAGAUGGGAAUUAUGACUGACAUGACUCAUUGGUUCAAGACAACUGAAUUUUAAUUUACAUUCCAUCGUAUUUCCUUCAAGAAGUACCUUAUCAUUCCAUGCUUGUAAAAUGCACAGGCAAUGCCUGACUUCAAUCAAACGCUAAAGAAGCAUUUGCACUUGUUUUUAUUUGCUUUUAAUCCAAAAAUCAUUUCUGAUUUAAACAAAGGAGACUUUCUUGAAUAAAUUCUACAGUGGGAAAGUGAACAUGCAUAGACCUCUCUCUUCACCUUCUUGAAGUCCCUGGACAUAGCUUUAAGUGUGGUCUGUGUACAGCUACAAACCAUAGCUCAUGUAAACAAUAACGUGCUUCUUUCUCUUUCCCCAACAUUUGUGACUCUGACAUUUCUUCUGUUUCUUUCCAGGAGACAGAGGUCAAUAUUGCUGUGUCUGAAACCCCAUUGCAGAGCUUCACUAAGGCUCUUCACAGUAAUUACACCUCUUUUCAGAAAUGUCAACAAUUCCUGGGCUGUAAAGAAUCUCUUUGCAAAAAUGUGUCUUUAGUCUUGAAGUUGAAUUGGCAAAGAAUAGCAUCUUCAGCAUUUUAUGUUAAGGGUGGAAAACUUGAGCAUGUUUAUAUGCCAAAGAGGGCAAGAUAAAGAGUGUGAGGCUGAUGGAACAAGUGUUAAAGUGAUUUAAUGAUGAAAUAAGAACAUUGAGGCUGGAAUAAAUGGAACCAAACUCUUAGAUAGAAGGAGACCCUCUUCCAGUAUACAAGAGGAAAAAAGAAAAGUAUAAUCACACCUUUAGGGAGUGGGGCUUGGAGGGUGAGAUGAUGCUUUUUAGAAGCUCACACAAAAGGCCCGUAUCACCUGGGAUGCAUUCGACUGCAAAUAACAGAUGUCCUAAGUAAACUUGGGUACAAUGAUAAAGAUACUUAUUAUCGCAUUUAAGAAGAAAUAUAUCCAGAUUUGUUGAAUAAUUAUGUGAAACAGUGAAUAGAAUUAUCUGAAAAUGACCAUAAAAACUCACUCUCAGUUGCUAGGAAAGCAGGCUCGCUGCUGUGAGGGAAUGCAGAGUGGUAGUUACGUUCUCUAAGUGGGCGGAACAAUGACCAACCUAAGCAAUAUGUGGAGAGUGACCAUUGGCUCCCUUCCUUACAUCCUUUAGCAUAUCUCAUCCCCAGACAACUUUUGUAAACUGUUGGUUUUCAAUAUAUGAUCCAUGGUCGCUAAACCAGCAGCAUCCUCAUCACCUGGAAACAUGUUAGAAAUGCAACUUCUCAGGGCCUACCACAGACCACUGAAUUAGAAGCCCUGGGGGUGGGGUUCAGUAAUUGUAUUGUAACAAGCACUACAGGUUCAUGCUAAUGGUUAUAAACCUCUGCUGUCAACAUCUGAUACCCCAAAUCCAGAAGCAGGGACUAGAUCAUUGAGGGUUUCAAAAGCAAUGAAAAGAACUUUAUGGAGUCAAAUAGGAGAACAGUUCUGUGUGAUACCUAUAUUAUGCUGCUAGUAGCCACCCUCCUGGAGCCAUUUCAAAUUAAUUCUCAAAUUCAAUUAGAAAAACCAAAGGUUGCUGUUUUUUAGCAAACAUUGCACAAAUUUGUUCAAUCACAAGGGUAUUCACAAGAGUGUUGCAGAAACAAUGCUCUAAAGGUCAUGCUGAUUCAGUUUUACCUGACCAUUUCCUCAAUAAUAUAAAUCUGAGAAGUGUAGUAAGAAAACAGGAAACAGACCUAGACUGGCAUCCCAGAUCUACUUUUGACCAUGCGUAUCUUAACUUCUCUGACAUAACUUUACUCAUAAAGCUCAUACACAUAGAUCUCUUAAAGUUACUGUAAGAGAAAGAGUCUAACGUAUACUAUACAUAGCAUCUAGUUGAGGUGUCAGAAAAGCUUAGUAAAUGAUGUGAAAAAAAGCUCAUUGUUGUGUGGUUUUUGCUGUGACUCUUGUAGUUAUUGGUGCCUGGCUGUGCUAUUGAAAAUGUAAAGAGGAGGAAUGAUAAUAGCGGAAGCGAAUGUCUUAGAGCUUUCGUAGAAGUGCAGACUGGGAAAGGAGGGAAGCAGAAAAGGCUUCCAAUGCUGGAGAUGCUUAAAAUAAAUCCUGAAGAAUGAGUAAGAGAGAGAGGAGGCUCGAGGAAAGGUGAUUCAAAGCUGAGGACAUAACAUAGAUAUUGUCAUGGAGGCACAAACAACUCUUCCUUUUAGGAAAUACCUAGGGAGUGUCAUUUGGAUGAAGAGUGGGACCCAUGACAAAGAGAGGAAUGAGAUGAAGUUGCAGGCUAACCCAGGGUCCUGACAUGAAGACCCUACUUGGUCUACCUAAGGAAUUGGAUACAUAAUUGAAGAAAAUAUGAGGACUGUUAGAUUUACAGCAGGAAAAUGAAGUCUGCUUUUAAGACCCUAUGGAAGCUUAAGAGAGGAGAAAAAUGUAAACAAAUAAAGAAGAACUUGAAGUUACAGGACUUGUUUGGAGCUUGUUAUCAUGAAUCAGGAGAGCAAGAUGAGGGCCUGGGAAAAACCAUGAGGGGAGAGUGAGUGAUUCCUCUAAAGAGUUUAACGAAAAAACAAUGUUUUCUGAUAGAUAAUAGUAUCCUCAUUAUUAAGGCUUCCCACAUUAAAAACAAAAGGAUAAAUGAAAUGGACUCUGAACAUGACUUAUGUGACUAUCAAUGUGCCAGGAACAACGAGGCUUGGUUCUUGGGUUUAAGACAUUACAGCAUCACAGGGAGAAUAAGCCACAUGUGCCAUGCAGGGUUAGGGAACGUCAAAUGCAGUGUGUGCUAAAUGCUAGAAGGUGUGGUCCAGAUGCAACUAAAGCAAAGUCUUGAAAAAACUAUUCUGGCCCCAAACCCAGAGUCCCAGGAUAUAGUUUCAACUUUGUCAUUGCCUUGGAGAGUGCGGACCGUGGGAAAGUCACUGUCCCCUUUUGAUCUUAUUUUUCUCCCUUACACAAAUGAUGAGAUUGAUUUGAACUGAAAAUAUAAGAAAAUGACCCAGGCAAUGCUUGCCCAACCAGAGCUUAUGCCUGCAACCUGGCAUACUGAAAAUUACAGAAUAGACAAUAUGCAUCAUGUCCAGGUAAUAAAUAAUUCAGAUAUUAUCCUUCUGUUAAAAUAAGCAUAGACAGGCCGGGUGCAGUGGCUCACGCCUGUAAUCCCAGCGCUUUGGGAGGCCGAGGUGGGUGGAUCAGGAGGUCAAGAGAUCGAGACCAUCCUGGUCAACAUGGUGAAACCCCGUCUCUACUAAAAAUACAAAAAAUUAGCUGGCACGGUGGCACGUGCCUGUAAUCCCAGCUACUCAGGAGGCUGAGGCAGGAGAAUUGCUUGAACCCAGGAGGCAGAGGUUGCAGUGAGCCAAGAUCGCGCCAUUGCACUCCAGCCUGGGUAACAAGAGCGAAACUCCGUCUAAAAAAAUAAAUAAAUAAAUAAGCAUAGGCAUAAUAAUUUGGCAUACAAUGUAACCAUUCGUACAUUUUAAAGAUAAAACACAAAGCUUCAAAGACAUAUCUGGCUUACAAGGCAUAAUAGACAGACUUGAAGAUGGCUCUGAAUGAUCUACACCUCCUGGUAUUUACAUCCUUAAGCAUAGCUCAUCCCCUGAGUGUAUGCUAACCCUAGUCACAGAAAAAUAAUUAACAGUCAACAUACAACCUGCAGAACGAGAGAAAAUAUUUGCAAUCUAUACAUACAACAAACAUCUUCAUAUGAUUUAGACCUGUGCCUCCGCCCAAAUCUCAUGUCACAAUGUAAUCCCCAGUGUUGGAGGUGGGGCCCAGUGAAAAGUGAUUAGGUCACAGGGAUGAUUUCUCAUGAAUAAUUUAAUAUCAUUUGUACUGUCCUCAUGAUUGUGAGUUAUCAUGAGAUCAGGUCAUCUUAGUGAGUAACACCUACCCCUAACCCUUCCUCUUGAUUCAUCUAUGUGAAGUGACCCUCUCAUUUCACCUUCCACCAUGAUUGGGAGUUUCCUGAGGCCUCCCCAGAAGCCAAGAAGAUGCCAGCAUCUUGCUUCCCUCACAGGCUGCUGAACUGUGAGCCAAUUAAACCUCUUUGCUUUAUAAAUUAUCCAGUCUCAGAUAUUUCCUUAUAGCAAUGCGGGAAUGGGUUAAUAUAGGUCUAAUAUGUAGAUUUUAAGAAACUCAAACAACUCAGCAUCAACAACAACAACAACAACAAAAAAAAAACCCAAGUAAUCUCAUUAAGAAAAAACUGGCCAAAGAUAUGAAUAGACACUUUUCAAAAUAACACAAAUGGCCAAGAAGCAUACAAAAAGAUGUUCAACAUCACUAAUUAUCAGAGAAAUGCAAAUUAAAAUGACAAUGAGAUACUAUCUUACACCAAUCCAAAUGGCUACUAUGUAAAAGACAAAAAAUAACAGAUCUGGUGAACAUUUGGAGAAAAGGGAGCUCUUAUACACAGUUGGUGGGAUGUAAAUUAGUACAACAUCUAUGGAAAACAGCAUGACUGUCUCUGGAACAACUAAAAAUAGAGCUACCGUGCAAUCUAGCACUUCUACUACUAAGUAUCCACCCAAAGGGAAAAAAAUCAUAUCAAAAAGAUACCUGCACUGGUAUGUUUACCAGAACACAAUUCACAAUAACAAAGAUAUAGAAUCAACCUAAGUAUUCAUCAAUGGAAGAUUGGAUAAAAUGAGUUAUGUAUACACAGUGAAGUACUAUUCAUUCAUAAAAAAAGAAUGUCUUUUGCAGCAACAUGGGUGGAACUGAAGGCCAAAAUCUUAAGUGAAACAACUCAGACAGAGAAGAAAAAUUACCAAGUAUUCUCACUUGUAAGUGGGAGCUAAAGAAUGUGUAAACAUGGAAACAAAGAGUAGAAUGUUGGACAAUAAAAACUCAGAGGGGUACUGGGGUAAGAGGGGCGUCAUGAUGGGAGGUCACUUGGUGAGUUCAAUGUGCUUUGCUCCACUGUAGGCCUUCACUUCACCACAACAAUAUAUAUGUGUGUCAAAUUGCACUUGUGCCCCAUGAAUCUAUACAAAAAAAAAGAGAGAAUAAAAUAGAAUACAGCAAAAGUAAUAGAAAUAAAUUUGCAAGUUUGGGUUAGAAAAAACUAGAAACUCUCACUGUCUCUCUCUUUCCUCUCAUUUAAUCCCACUGAUGAAGCCAUUUUUCAUGUUGUCAGCUGCCCUACUGAGAUGACUACCUGGUCAGAAACAGCCAGCAAAGAAUUAAAGCCCUCAGUCAGACUACCCACAGGGACUGAACCCUGCAAAUGACUAGAUGCAUGAACUCGGAAGCGUAUUCUUUCGUAUUCAUCUUGAGAUGAUUGCAACCCUAGCUGACCCUUUGAUUGUAAGAGACCCAGUGACCCCAGAUAAGGUGUACCUGGAUUUUAGUCCCAUGGAAAUAAUAAAAUUAUACAGAUUUGUUAUUGUGGUAAUCUGUUAUACAAUGCAGCAUACACAAAGGAUUACUUUGAGCUAUGGCCAGAAACACCCACUGAAAUAAUCUCUCUUGUCUCUGCCUUAAACAGCAGUUGGUAGAAAUGUCUAUAAAACAUGCUUUUUGUUUGCUUGUUUUUGAGACAAAGUCUCACUCUUGUUGCCCAGGCUGGAGAACAGUGGCACGACCUCAGUUCACUGCAACCUCUGCCUCCCGGGUUCAAGCGAUUCUCCUGCCUCGGCCUCUCAAGUCACUGGGACUACAGGUGUGUGCCACCACGUUGGGCUAAUUUUUUGUAUAUUUAGUAGAGAUGUGUUUUCACAGGAUGGUGUUGAUCUCCUGGCCUCCUGAUCUGCUUGCCUCGACCUUCAAAAGUGGUGGGAUUACAGGCAUGACCCACCACACCAGGCCUAUGAAACAUCUUUAAGAAGUGCAAACUUUAAUGAGUUCCUAGGCUGGCAGAAUAGCCCCCUCUAAAUCACUGCUGAUUGUUGUGGCAGAGGAGAAGACAACAUAGCGAUUGGGAACUGGUUCUAACGUGUUUUCCCUGAAGAGACAGCUGGCAUUUAACCGGGCAAAGCGACUCCUAUAGCCAUAACUGCAAAGGAAGAGAGAAGUACAAUUUUACAAUAUGCUUAGAAGAAAAUCCAGAAACUAUAGUACUUUGAGGAGUUUGAAUGUCUACUAGGCACACACCCUCAAGUUAAGGUUGUAUUAGAGGCUAAAGAGUGGCAGGCAAAAUCUUAACUUCAGAGAACUGACCUCACUUCUCUGAUGUCUGUGUUUUCCAGAUGGCCAUUCCCAGCUUUUCAUGUGAAUACACUCUUUAAAACUGGAUUCUGAUUUUUCUGAUUAUUUCAGUCCCAGCUCUGCUACUGGCCAGCUGGGUGAUUUUGGCGAAGUUACAGAAUCCACCAGAAGCACAGUUUCCUUGUCUACAAAGUAGAAAAUACAAUUCCUGUCCUCCAACCCCACAGAUUUCUAAGCAUCAGUAAUGGAGAUGUUGUAGAAUCUCUUUGUUAAUUCAUGUGUUGCAGAGAGACAGUCCUUCUUCCUAAUUGGUUAUUUAAAUAUUGUAAUUUUGUUUGAUUGUUUACUGAAGUCAUGUCUGAAAUCUCCCAUCUAUAACUAAUCUCUGACUCAAUGAACUUUCAUGACAAUUUUUAAGAGAGAAAAAGAAAAAAAUAUAUAUAUUCUGAAUACCUACUAAAAGCUAGGUGAUGUAAAUUCAUUUGUAUUACGUAUCUCAUUUUAGUCCAACAACUCUCUGAGGAAAAUUGGAUUCUCACUCCCCAAGAGGUAGAAAGCUCUCUUGGGUUUCUGACCUGAGUGACCACAGGCUUAGCACUGACAGUGACAUACAAAGGAAAAGAGGACACAUGGGCUCUGAGCAGAUUGUGGAGGGGAGAAUUGCUGAUACACCCAGAGGGAGCUGUCCUAGAGGCAGGCAGAACUCAAGUCUGCACCUGGAAGGGGUCUUGACUUAGCCUGGACACUUGUGGGUCAUUCAUGAGGAGGAAAAUGAGGCUGAGCAUGUAAAUGUGGUCAGUCAGGGAAAAGGCAUAGACUGAAAUAUAGAGACCACAAUGGAGUACUAGGAGCUAACAUUUUAAAAAUGGACCCAAGAAGAGAAUGAGAUGGAGAAGAUUGAGUAGCUGCUAGAGAAGGAGCGGGAGUAUCACAGUGCAGAAAGAUCUUACUUAUUGUUGUGAAUAGGCUUUUGGAAAUGGCAACUCUAAACAAAACAAUGUGUGACAAAACCAAUUUCACCAUAGGCUAAUUGAUAUUAACAAGUAUCAAGUUUCUACUGCAUAGUCUUGUCAGAAAAACAUCAUCAUACUUCAUUUAUUUAUUUAUUCAUUUAUUCAUUUGAGACAGAUCUCUCUGUUGCCAGGCUGGAGUGCAGUGGCACACUCUCAGCUCACUACAACCUCUACCUCCAAGGUUCAAGCGAUUCUUCUGCCUCAGCCUCCUGAGUAGCUGGGACUACAGGCAUGCACCACCACACCCAGCUAGUUUUUGUAUUUUUAGUAGAGAUGGGCUUUCACCAUGUGUACCAGGAUGGUUUCAAUCUCUUAACCCUCUUGAUCCACCUGUCUUGGCUUCCCAAAGUGCUGGGAUCACAGCCAUGAGCCACGGCUCCUGGUCACAUCAUUAUACGUCUAAAUAGAAACCCCAAACACUUCUAAUAUUAAACAUUGAAACAAAUGUGAGAUACACAUGCAUUUAAGAAAAAAUAAUAAAAACAAGUUAGAUAAUUAUUUACUCAUUUAUUCUAGUGCAGGGCCUUGGGUGGCUGGAUCCUGUCCCAGCAGCUCAGGAGCUAAGUGGGACCCAACCCUGUCCAGGAUGCCAUACCAUCACAGCACACACUCACCUCCACACCCACACUCACUCAGACUGGGACCACUGAGACACACCAACAAACCUAAUGUGCACAGCUUUGACAUGUGACAGGAAACUGGAGUGCUCAGAGAAAACACAUGCAGACACAGACGUGGGGAGGACUUGCAAAGUCCACACAGACAGUGGCCUCAGUUGGGAAUCAAUUUUUUUCUUAAAUGUUAUAAUUAAACAAUGUUGAAUUAAACAACAUUAUUUGAGAAACUGCUGUAUGCUGCUGCAUAUUUCAGAAGAGGAAUUUGAAGUAGAAGGAAGAGUUUGAUGAUGCUUACAAUUGUUUGAUGUUUGUAAUACAAGGAUUAAAAAGUGUCCAGUGAAUUUGGCAGUUGGUUCUUUAUUAACCACAGGGAGGUCAUCUUUAGUGGAGUCAUUAUGGCAGAGGACGGCUGCAUCACUGCAAUUUUAGGAAUGACUGGGAAUUGAAGAGCAUGCAGAGAGAAUUAGUUGACAACCCCAUGAGAAAGUACAGGCUGGUGAGUGAUAACAGGGAGAGGAUGAAGGCUCCAGGAAGAGGUUUGUGCAGGCUAAAUAGCUGAUAAACUUUUAGAAACCCCGUAGUUGUUUGCAGAGGAAUGGUGAGUCUGAAGUCCUGUCCUCUUGUGAACUACCCAGAGAUAUCCGAAGAAAUGUGGUUCCAGUAGCCCAAAGCUGAAAUGAAACAUUGGUAAGCCAGAGCACACCCAGCAAAAGUGAUGAGCAUAAGAAAGCAGUUCAACAUUUCCAAUGAUGCACAUACACAUAAUACACACAAGACAUGUAUACAACCUAUGCAUCGCACACACUGAACAAACAACACACAAAACACAACAUGCAAACACAUAUACAACACACAACACGUGCAUAUUACACACAUACACACAAUAUGCAUAAACCAUGUACACAACGCAUUAUACCUACAUCAGACAUACAUUAUACACACAUCACAUCCAAUACAGGUAAAACACCACAUACAAUAUACAUGCAAACACUAGGCAACACACAUUGCAUAUAUGUGACACACAUGUGCAUAUAUGCACCAAAUGCUUGUAUGCACAAAACAUCCACAUAAUACAUACACACACACACAUGCACAUGCACACUCUAGAGUUGUCUAGCAAGCCAAGGAUGUAUAUACCAUGUCCCAGUAAGAAGCAUGGGAGGAAGGGAAGAGUCUGAUGUGUGCUAGCCUUUGAAGGUUAUAAGCUCACAUGUUUAACCAAGCAAAGAGAAGAGAAGGCAAUCAAGAAAAAAGGGCAUGAGAACAAGAUGUGAUCACCUUCAGACUCUGCCAGUGCAAGCCACAGUACCAUUGUGGGAGCAGAAAUGUAAUCCUCUGAGCAUACCCUUGAAUGUCCAGCACUGAAUCAGAUUGAGCUACAAUUCCUUUACAAAAAAGAAUAAACACUCAUUCUCCCUCAACCCUUUUUGUUUGAUUUGCAAUGAGUGAGUGGUCUGUUGAAAAUUCUUGCAUGUCUACUUCAAAUGUGCUAUAUGAAAGCUGAAUAUACAUCAUUAUACUAUAAACACACACACACACACACACAUAUGUUUAUUGUAGCACUAUUUACAAUAGCAAAGACAGGGAACUAACCCAAACGCCCAUUAAUGAUAAACUAGAUAAAGAAAAUGUGGUAUAUAUACAACAUAGAAUACUAUGCAGCCAUAAAAAGAAUGAGAUCACGUCCUUGCAGGGACAUGGAUGAAUCUGGAAGCCAUCAUUCUCAGCAAACUAACACAGGAACAGAAAACCAAACACCCCAUGUCCUCACUCAUAAGUGGGAGUUGAAAAAUGAGAACACAUGGACGCAAGGAGGGGAACAAAACA